GUGCUGAUGGGAAAAAUUACCAGGUUUUCCCAUCAGGUGGAAAUGUAGUUUAGGCUUGGGAAAGUGUGUAUAUAUAUACAUAGGUAUCAAAGAGCCACAGAAAUUAACACCUACGGGAACUUAGUGUACUGAAUAAACCCCCUCCCCCCUUUCUUUUUUAAAAAGCACUUUCAUUAGCUCAGAAGUCAGAAAGUGAAGAUCGGGUUGACUGAUGGUUCUGUUUGUGUGUUGCACACCAGAUGAUGUAGUCCACGUUCUUGUGGUAAGCUUUCAGACUUUUCCUGAGAGACGCUGUCACCCUCUCUGGAUGCUCUGUUGCGCAGAACCAGCACAUCCCCUUCUCAAAGCACUCUCCCCUUGUCUUGACUGGCAAGGGGUGCUCGUGCUACCAGUCCUAGAGAUAAGCAGUCUCUGUAAAGAUCUGUUGCGCGAUAAACUUCUGAGAUGACCUCUUUUUCAGACUUAAUGCAUUGUACUGGAAGCUAAGCUUUUCAACUCCUCUUUGAAAAAACAGAUGCCUAAGACUUGGAAACGCUUUGGCAAGCACUUAGGAGCACGGCUUAAAGCUACGCUAUCAUGUGGGGGGGGGGGGGGGGGAGAAAUAUGGGUCUUCCUCUUUCUUCUGUGGAAGAGAAAGGGGACCUACUGAGGUGAUGCAAUUAGUCUUUUUCCCCUCUAUUUUAUGCUUCUGAAAGAAAACACCAGGUACGUUGCAAGUGAGUACUCACAGCAUCCAACAAAAGAUAAAAACCUUUUCUGGCAAGCAGCCUCAGCUCCUGGAGAUGUCGCUGAGAAUGGGUGUCAGCCGCGAGCCAGAGCGGCGCUGCCAAGGAAAGGGACUCCCUUCAGUAGCCAAAGUACAAAAGAAAGAAAGGAUAAUAGCGAAGCAGCUUGCCAAAGAAAGAGUCGCUGCUUUCAUUACUUCUAGUUCUCCCAAGCGGAAUCAUUUUUUUUAUCCUAACAGAACGCAGCCAAAACGAGCAGAAGAAACUAAUCCAGGCAGUGCAGGAAGGAGGGAUCAGAUGACAAGGGGAUUCCAGUACGUCUGCCCCGGAGGGGAGCAGAAGAGUCCCUGCAGCAGAGCCUGUGCUUCAGUUCCUCCGGAAAGGCUGGACUUGCAGCAUUUGCAGUGUCAUGUUAAAACGUUGCAAGCGUUGCAGUUGACAAAAAAGCAUUGCCCCAAGAGGCAGAGCACCGUCUCCCAGAUAAAAUACAGUAACUCGAUCCAGCAUCCCUGUGGGUAUGCCACAUCAGCAGGCAUGGACGUACUGGGUACUCCCAGGUUAACGUGUUUGUGGAAGGCAACUGAUGUAUAUAGCGAAAAGACCAGAUCAAGGCCUCUAUGUAACUGCGUCCUCUCCCAAUGGCGGAACGUUGUUGCUCUUAGCUUUCAAAGACUCCAAGUCCUCUGGUUUGGCCUCAACCUUCUCUUCAAUGAAUUAACAUCGUUGUUACCCCCGAGCAUGCACCCAGUGCAGCCUCAGCGUUAGCUCUGUGAAGCCUCCUUCUUUCUCAGUUGUGAGAGAUGUGCUCUCUUUCUUACAGGCUCUGCAAAAGGAAUGAAGGAUUUUCUUCACGUGAUGCAGGUGAAGCUGACAGAGGAAAAGCCAAAAGAGGGGUAUGUUUCUCCCCCAGCUGCGUGAGCUGUCUCCCCAAAUACCAAGUUUUGCUUCUGACAACCAGCCAGUGAUGAAAAGAGGCGGCAGGAGGCUGAAGCAGCGUAAAAGCAUGGUUGUACUCUAGGUGAAAUACCUUGUGGGCUGCGACCAGAGGACAAAGCCUUCAGCCAGCUCGGCGGGGCCCAGCGGUGAGUACCCGUGCGCUGGUGUGUGCCAGCCCGUGUCCGCCAGGCUCGGCUUUGGGCGGGAGCGCGGGCGGCCCUGUGCAGCCUCACCGUUCCCGGCCAGAACCGCUGGGGCUGGCCCAGGGGUAAAAGCG